rnacentral:rRNA from 1 species
GUAAGGAAUAUUGGACAAUGCCCGCAAGGGUGAUCCAGCCAUGCCGCGUGCAGGAAGACGGCCCUAUGGGUUGUAAACUGCUUUUGUACCGGAGAAAACCUCCCCUCGUGAGGGGAGCUGAUAGUAUGGUAAGAAUAAGCAUCGGCUAACUUCGUGCCAGCAGCCGCGGUAAGACGAAGGAUGCAAGCGUUAUCCGGAUUCAUUGGGUUUAAAGGGAGCGUAGGUGGGUUUGUAAGUCAGUGGUGAAAGCCGGUCGCUUAACGAUCGAAUUGCCAUUGAUACUGCAGACCUUGAGUACAGAUGCUGUGGGCGGAAUAUGACAUGUAGUGGUGAAAUACAUAGAGAUGUCAUAGAACACCGAUUGCGAAGGCAGCUCACAAAACUGUAACUGACACUGAGGCUCGAAAGUGCGGGGAUCAAACAGGAUUAGAUACCCUAGUAGUCC